rnacentral:rRNA from 2 species
UACGAAGGGGGCUAGCGUUGUUCGGAUUUACUGGGCGUAAAGCGCACGUAGGCGGGUCGUUAAGUCAGGGGUGAAAUCCCGGAGCUCAACUCCGGAACUGCCUUUGAUACUGGCGACCUUGAGGCCGGAAGAGGUUAGUGGAAUUCCCAGUGUAGAGGUGAAAUUCGUAGAUAUUGGGAAGAACACCAGUGGCGAAGGCGGCUAACUGGUCCGGAUCUGACGCUGAGGUGCGAAAGCGUGGGGAGCAAACAGG